AAAACCCCAAGCAAAUCUUCCACCAUCCGGAACGUAACAUGGGGCAAAUCCACCUACUUCCCAGGAUUCCAGGAUGCCGAAUCAGACAUGAUCAAAUGUAACGAACUACCCAAAGAAAAGCCGGUCGACGAUCAGUUCAUGUGCUACCAGAAUCGAGCGUACGAGGACGAGGAGUCAGCCAUGAAAAGUGCAUGCAAACCAAUUAAAGAGGAGAAUGAUGAUUGGAAACAGCCUGUGGAGGAUUCUCAGUCAGAAGAAAAUAAAAUGAUUAAAACGUCUGAAGAUAAAAAGCCAGACGAACAGUUCAUCUGUUUCCAGAACGAAGCGUAUGAGGAUUCAGAGUCAAAUGAGAGUAAAGAUGCAGUGAAUCCUCAGGGUACUAAAGCCGAUGAUCACAGCAUCGACACGCUGCUGUGAAAACAGCUCCUGAAACAGCGACUGAAUAUCCGAAUAACCUUCAAUAGCCUCCAGCUCUUUGCCAAAUAUUUGCAGUACAUUUAUCAACUGCGUACAUUUCAGUCAGGUUUUUUUUACUAUAGUAAAACCGCUUUACUAAAGCAAAACACAAAUAUAUGUUGAGUUUAUGUUUGGUAAGUGAUAUUCAGAAAGCUGUUUAUUUUUAAUAACCUUGAAUGAAGUGAAUGCUUAGUUUGCACAAUUUUUACUCCAAAUUCAUAUGAAGAAUUUAUUGGUAAAGAUGUCUGCGAAUUACUUCCGAUGAUGAUCAUUUCAGUGGAUGUUGAGUGUGUGUCGUUGAGCUUUUAUUAUUCGUCUAUUAUUAUGAAGUGAUACUCAGGUACAGUCCUUGUAAUUUUGCACGUCCUCAUUUGUAAACUCACGCAUUGAAGGAAUCAAUUUCCCUUUCAAAGUGUUGAUGCAAACUCCUCCUCAGAGUCAAGCCAUUUCACUUGUGAGUGACCAAACCAGUCCGACAGCAAACACAGACGCCCCGUUCCUUCCACACGAGGGAAAAUAUAAUACUUUAGUUCAGAAAACAGUGCAUCGUUUGGUGAAAGAGAUUCAAAUGUGUAUCUUUUGUUUGCUUGCUUAUGAAAUAUGAAGAGACAUGUUGCCAGAUCAUGCCAUUUCAAGAUGUUUUUCAUAACUAUGUUUAGUGGUCUGUAAAAAAACAGCAACUGUUUCCAUAUUUUGUGAUUCACCUGUGUUUUUAUUUUAUUUAUGGUUCUGAAUUGCUUUAUGGGAUUUUGAUCUCUGCUCCAGCCACUUUUGAUGUUUAAAACGCAAAAGUGGCUUUUGUUGACAUUUUAGAAGUUUGAAAUGAUAUAAUGUACAAGUAUAUAGAGAAAUACGUCUGUAAAGUAACAGAAAAUGUACUGGUAGGUUAAUACCAGGUUUCUGUAGCGUAAUCUACAAGACCAAAUCAGUCAAUAAAUCACUUCAAACUAUUAAAAAUGUCAAUAAAAGUCCCUUUUUAAAACACUUUUCAACAUUUAUAAGUUGUCAGAGGAAAGCUCAAGACGAUAUAAUGCAAAACAACUACAACAACACAACAUGAAUCACAAAAAUACUUUAAUUUUAUAAUUUUUUUCUUCAGGUGUACUGUAAACGAAGAUAUUUGUGGAAAUUUAAAACACACAUUGCCAAACUAAUCUUCAAUGUGAGCACUUGCAAUAACAGCUGUUGUUUUGACCGAUCCAAUAUGAAAGGUUGUUUGUAUAAACGAUCCACACUGUUAAAUUAAACCACAUUUCACCUA